rnacentral:rRNA from 1 species
UACGUAGGGGGCUAGCGUUGUCCGGAAUCAUUGGGCGUAAAGAGCGUGUAGGCGGUCCGGUAAGUCCGCUGUGAAAGUCGGGGGCUCAACCCUCGGAUGCCGGUGGAUACUGUCGGGCUUGAGUACGGAAGAGGCGAGUGGAAUUCCUGGUGUAGCGGUGAAAUGCGCAGAUAUCAGGAGGAACACCAAUAGCGAAGGCAGCUCGCUGGGACGUGACUGACGCUGAGACGCGAAAGCGUGGGGAGCAAACAGG